UACGGAGGGUGCGAGCGUUAUCCGGAAUCACUGGGUUUAAAGGGUGCGUAGGCGGUCUGAUAAGUCAGUUGUGAAAUUCCUCGGCUUAACCGAGUGGACUGCGAUUGAUACUGUCAGACUUGAAUCAGGUUGAGGUAGGCGGAAUGUGACAUGUAGCGGUGAAAUGCUUAGAUAUGUCAUAGAACACCGAUUGCGAAGGCAGCUUGCUGGGCUUAGAUUGACGCUGAGGCACGAAAGCGUGGGGAGCAAACAGGAUUAGAUACCCUGGUAGUCCACGCCCUAAACGAUGUUUACUUGCUGUUCCUCUCUUGCGGGGGAGUGGCGAAGCGAAAGCGAUAAGUAAACCACCUGGGGAGUACGCCGGCAACGGUGAA
rnacentral:rRNA from 1 species